GGCCCUGUAGCUCAGUGGUAGAGCAUUUGACUGCAGAUCAAGGGGUGACGAGUUCGAUUCUCGUCGGGGCCU
rnacentral:tRNA from 1 species